rfam:TPA: Bos taurus chromosome 15, whole genome shotgun sequence.
UGGCUCAGAGGGUAAAGCGUCUGCCUGCAAUGCAGGAGACCUGGGUUCGAUCCCUG